rnacentral:rRNA from 1 species
GCCAGCAGCCGCGGUAAUACGGAGGGUGCAAGCGUUGUUCGGAUUUAUUGGGCGUAAAGCGCGUGUAGGCGGUUUCUUAAGUCUGAUGUGAAAGCCCUGGGCUCAACCCAGGAAGUGCAUUGGAUACUGGGAGACUUGAAUACGGGAGAGGGUAGUGGAAUUCCUAGUGUAGGAGUGAAAUCCGUAGAUAUUAGGAGGAACACCGGUGGCGAAGGCGGCUACCUGGACCGAUAUUGACGCUGAGACGCGAAAGCGUGGGGAGCAAACAGGAUUAGAUACCCUGGUAGUCCACGCCGUAAACGAUGAGAACUAGGUGUUGCGGGUA